rnacentral:rRNA from 1 species
CCCGCCCGCCUACGGGAGGCAGCAGUGGGGAAUAUUGGACAAUGGGGGCAACCCUGAUCCAGCCAUGCCGUGUGUGUGAAGAAGGCCUUUUGGUUGUAAAGCACUUUAAGCAGUGAAGAAGACCAUACGGUUAAUACCCGUAAGCGAUGACCUUAGCUGCAGAAUAAGCACCGGCUAACUCUGGUCCAGCAGCCCCGGUAAUACAGAGGGUGCAAGGGUUAAUCGGAAUUACUGGGGGUAAAGCGAGCGUAGGGGGCUUGAUAAGUCAGAUGUGAAAUCCCCGGGCUUAACCUGGGAACUGCAUUUGAAACUGUUAGGCUAGAAUAGGUGAGAGGAAGGUAGAAUUCCAGGUGUAGCGGUGAAAUGCGUAGAGAUUUGGAGGAAUACCCAUGGCGAAGGCAGCCUU